CCUGAUCUUACAUAGGAAUAGCGGGCCUUAGAAAAUUGUUUUUCAUCAUUUUAGCGGGCCUUAGAAAAUUGUUUUUCAUCAUUUUGGAGCAUCAUCUUCAUUGUUUACUGCAAAUCAUCUUCUUUGUUUACUGCAAAGAAGAAUGUGAAAAUCAAUGACUUUCAUACUAGAAAAUUUAAUAAAUUUCAAGCACAUUAUAACUUAACUAUAAGCAUACCUUCACCAUUUAUGAGCCAUCCGUCUCCCGGAUAUUAUUAAACAAAACAAUCUUUACGUGAAUAAGAUUGUAUUGAGUUUGCUUUAUGGCAGGGUCCAAUCUUUACGUGAAUAAGAUUGUAUUGAGUUUGCUUUAUGGCAGGGGCGGCUAGGAGCUUAGCACAAAAUUCUAGCCAC
rnacentral:lncRNA from 1 species